UCCCUGGAGGACUAGUGGUUAAGCCUUCGGGGCUCUCACCGCUGCGGCUUGGGUUCGAUUCCCAGGCAGGGGU
rnacentral:tRNA from 1 species